rnacentral:rRNA from 1 species
UACGUAGGGUGCGAGCGUUAAUCGGAAUUACUGGGCGUAAAGCGUGCGCAGGCGGUCUUUUAAGCCAGAUGUGAAAUCCCCGGGCUUAACCUGGGAACUGCGUUUGGAACUGGAAGGCUAGAGUACGGCAGAGGGGGGUGGAAUUACACGUGUAGCAGUGAAAUGCGUAGAGAUGUGGAGGAACAGCGAUGGCGAAGGCAGCCCCCUGGGGCUGUACUGACGCUCAUGCACGAAAGCGUGGGGAGCAAACAGG